rnacentral:hammerhead_ribozyme from 1 species
AUUCAGCUGACGAGUUCCAAAAAAAGACGAGAUGCGUGUCCUGGAU